rnacentral:rRNA from 1 species
GACAGAGGGGGCAAGCGUUGCUCGGAAUUACUGGGCGUAAAGGGCGCGUAGGCGGCCUUCUAAGUCGAACGUGAGAUCCCUGGGCUCAACCCAGGAACUGCGUCCGAUACUGGAAGGCUUGAAUCCGGGAGAGGGAUGCGGAAUUCCAGGUGUAGCGGUGAAAUGCGUAGAUAUCUGGAGGAACACCGGUGGCGAAGGCGGCAUCCUGGACCGGUAUUGACGCUGAGGCGCGAAAGCCAGGGGAGCAAACGGG